ACCGGCGGCUCCUACCGCUCCCGGGAGCGAGCAGAGCGGCGCGGCUCCGCCAACAGUGGAGCUGUACCCGAGCUAGGCGUUGCGGGAGCCGCUGCUUCCUCGUCUUCUCUCGCAGCCGCGGCCACUUCCUCAACGAACUGUCAGCGCUCUGCCCCCCUCCCUCGGGGCAAUUCCGGCCCCCGGCCGGUCAGAUCGUCCGUCGAAGAGGGUGCGCGGUGUGGUACCUGCGGCACCCCGAAGUGCGGGUCGCUGUGUCCGGUGGUGUCAGGUGAAUAAGGGGCUGCUCAGCAGCGCGAGUGGGAAAGCAAAGGGCGGCAAGGGUGGUAGUCUCUUGGGAGAAAACGAAUAUACCUACUGAUUGUCAGCAAUGAAAUUCAAUCUAUUUCGGAACUUCUGUGUUUUGGUGAGAAAAUUACUUCUGGAGGAGCAAAAACUGUUUUUAUUUGAAACAACAUCGGGUCUUCGUGCUCUGUUUCAGUCAAAAAUAUAUUUCGGUCAGAAAUACUAUUUACUAGCUUUGUAGAAGCUGCUGGCGCGGAAGAGACUAUACCAGCUCCAUGCAGAGACCUGAAGAAAACCCACUCUCCAAGGCUCCACAUACCAGGGCGUCAGCUCCCGCCACAGGUGUCUACACAGCCAAAAGGCGGCAACAGCUUUCGCCAGGACGCGCUGCUUACUGGCACCGAGCGGCACCUCAGGCGAACCCGCAGCCGCAAUUCUCCUCCGGCCAUGGCCGCUGCGUGACGGCGCCGUGUCCCGUGAUGGGCAGCGCUGGCAGGAGGCGAGGUCUCUUUCCUGCUCCCUUGUAGUAAAUGAUUGCUGCAGUGAGAGGGCCUGCUUACUGUAAGAAAGAGGUGAUGCAAGGAAGCACUGGCUCUCCUUCCACAUCCAUUAUACUAAAUAGAGCUGUCAAAGGGUGAAAGCUUCGUGUUUCAUACCAGUUAAGGAGGUCCCUUUUUUUUGUUCUGAUUGCUAUAGUGCAGAUACAUAUCUGAAUUGGCACUGCCUAUAUGUGUGAGAACAAGGCAAAGAAUUAAGAAAACCUGAUUCUUGGAUGUCUUUUGAUGGCACAGCUCUUUUCCUAACACCAUCCAAAAGUAGAGCACAAUCUACGGGAAAUAGCUUUUGGAAAGUUAUUACUGUGCUAUGAACAAGAUUUUAAGCAGAAGUUUCAUCUUAAAUUGGUGAAAAAAUAUAAAUGUUUAAUGACUUUAAAUUAUAUGUGAGCAAGAGAACUAGACCUGGUAAGGGUGGAGUUAACUUUCUGCAGCAGCUGAUAUGGUGCCUAUCUGGGAUUUUGAGUAAUAGAGUAUGAGUAACACAUUUUCUUUAAUGCUGGGCACUGCUGCUCACUGAUGAGGCUUCCUGUGUUUUGCACUCUGACUCAAUCCUCACCAAGUGAGCAAGCAACAGGCAAGAUCGAAGAGGAUGCUGAUUGGACCAGCUCCAGCAGACCAACAGGUUAUACCACAGCCAAAAUCAAAGUGGGGAUAGAUGGAAAAAGGCAGGGGCUAGUGCUGUCCGCCUGCUCACAGACCAGCUGAGCAUCACUCACCUCAUGGAGGAGGUUGGUCCAGCUGGUCUGUGCAAGAAGGGAGCCACAUGGUCCUGGAAAUCCUUCAGAGCUCCACUGAAGAACCCAGGAACUACUUACAGAUGAAGCUUUCCUGAAGAUUUGUGAGGAUACUUCAAGCAAGCAGUUUAACAUAUCAGCAGUACACUAAGGAGAGCUGUUCCAUCCCUUGGAUCAUUUUUGUGGCCCUCCUCUGGACGUGCUCCAACUGGUCUAUGUCUCUCCUGUACUGAGGACUCCACAUCUGAAUGCAGUACUCCAGAUUUUCCCCUCUAGCUGAACAACAGACACACUGAGAAACAUGCCAGAGCAAAGCAAUGAUUACAGGGUGGUUGUGUUUGGGGCUGGAGGAGUUGGCAAAAGUUCUUUGGUCUUGAGAUUUGUGAAGGGCACUUUCAGAGAGAGCUACAUCCCCACCAUUGAAGACACCUACCGGCAGGUGAUCAGCUGUGAUAAAAGCAUAUGCACUUUGCAGAUAACUGACACUACGGGGAGCCAUCAAUUUCCAGCCAUGCAACGUCUUUCUAUUUCUAAAGGACAUGCUUUCAUUUUGGUUUACUCUAUCACCAGCCGACAGUCCUUGGAGGAACUUAAACCAAUCUAUGAACAAAUAUGUCAGAUUAAAGGUGAUGUAGAAAGCAUUCCAAUAAUGCUGGUGGGGAACAAAAAUGAUGAGAACCAAAAUCGAGAGGUAGAAAGCAGUGAAGGAGAAGCUACAGCCAAGAAGUGGAAGUGUGCAUUCAUGGAGACCUCUGCCAAGCUGAACCACAAUGUGAAGGAGUUAUUCCAGGAGCUGUUGAACUUAGAGAAACGCAGGACUGUGAGUUUACAAAUUGAUGGCAAAAAAAGCAAGCAGCAGAAAAGGAAAGAGAAGCUGAAGGGCAAAUGUGUAGUCAUGUGAAAUUGCACUGACAGGAGUCUGUCAUGCAUUCUCACCUGUCUGAUAUUACCCAUGUAAAGCCUACACACAGCAAACAACCAGACAAGAUUGUAUUAAUUGGUAUCUGUUUUAAAACAAAUAUUCAGAAUUUGAAAAAAAGAAGAGUUACUGUUGUUACUAUGAAAACAGCCAACAAUUGGAAGAAUUGUGCUCUCUAGAUACCAGUGAAAAAUUCAGGACAAAAAAAGUCAUCUUGAGCAUACUGUCGGAGACUUAGAAAUCAAAAUCAUGAUAUUUAUAUUCUUAUGUAACUACAGUGGAAAGCAGUGUACAAUGCUAUGAAAAAAGAAAAAAACAGGAAAAAAAAAACAGCAAAUGCUCAUGCUAGGAUAUGUAACUGCAUGCUGGAUGAAGUUAUCAUACCCUUCAAGAAUGCUCUGGACAAACAGUUCUGUGCAAUUUUCAGUACUGACUGCUGAGGUAGUGUGAAUAAAGUAAUAAGCUCAGAUCUGCCAAAUGAACUAUUUCUCACCAAAAGGAAGCACAGUUAAAAAAAGUGGAGAUUUUCUCUACCUCCCUGAGCGUGACAUGUCUUUCCUGUAUGAUACAGUGUUUGAAAUAAAGAUGGCGAAAAGCCAGCCUGUGUAGGAUUGAUGGAGAUUUGUCUCCUCAGUACUCAUCAAGCCCGUAAUGACCUGCAAUUUUGACCCCAAGGUAUUUCAGAGAAGAUGCUUGCUGUUGAGGAACAUCAGGAUAUAUAAAAACAGUGUGUACAUGGCUACAGGUAACUUCUUCAGGGAGGACUGGCUGGAGAGUCGCCUACAAAGGCCUUUGUUGGAAAGGCUGAGUUCAAGUACUUCUGAUGGAUAAUCUUUCAACUACUCUGUCAGGGGAUACAUCUCAAAAUAUUUUAAAGGGGAUAAAUGCCCAACAUGUGAGUUUUGCUGGAUAUCUCUCUAAGCUUUUUUUUUUUUCUUUAAAUAAUAGGAAUGACUGAAGUUUGUAUCCUAUUGAUAGCAAAGAACAUGAAAUAUAAAAGAAGCACAUACAUUUCUUAGAGGACAGACAAGAAUUGUAUAAAUACCAUUUGCACCUUAUAAACUGCUUUGACAUAUUAAAACAAAACAUAUUUUUGGGAAACUUCUCUGUCAAAAUCAUACGAUAGGAAAAUGUAGUCUAGUACUAGUAUUAUUAGUAUGCAUGCUGUUGCAUUAUAAAUGUCUUAGAGCUAUUCAAAUACAGCAUUUACAUUGAAAAUUGUUACCUUGUUGCUCUCAAAGCUGCUGCUUAUCUUCUACCUACUGAAGUGUAGACAUUUCAUAGGUAGGGUGACAGUUACAUGUCUUUGAGCAAGAAUUGCUGUUAAUGCUGUUUCUAAAGGAGCAGAAUUUCUGUCAUUCACUCAGAAAAGGUUCUAGCAGCAUUAUUAUCAAGUGUAACCCUCCUAUUGAUUUCAAAGAAGACAGUUUUUGUGUUUAUUUCAUUAGAAAAGUGAAGAAGGAAAAAAGGCUAAGACUCUUCCUUAGCAGUAAAUUUCUCUCUCUUAAGCAAUGCUUCUUCCCCAUUAAUUCCAAAGCGUUUUAUACAUAAGACAGAAUCAUUACCUUAAAUUUGCAGGUGGUGAAUCUGAGGCACAAAGAGAAGAAGCAAGAGCGCAUAGAUUACGCAGCAGUGACAGACUCAGGAAGAAAAGCAGAUCUCUCCAGUCCCACUCAAGUGCUGUCUGCCUUUGCUCAGACUGCCUCUUCAGAUUCUUUGUUUUCAAAAUAUAUAAAGAAGCCUGGUAUAGCUUAUAUGGCUGAGAGCAUCUUCUCCUUCUCAGCGUGUCAGUAGAUCAAACACUAUUUCAGAUCAGGGAUGCAAAACAUUUAAAAGCACUAUCUUUAGUACGUGUUUUCUACAUGUUUAUACAUAUACUCUGUAAACAAAUAUACUUAUCUUUACUGCACUGGAAUCCACUAGCAGAACUGGAAAGUCAAAAGAUUGACCACACUUGGGAGUGGUGGGUCAUACACAGAUUUGAGCAGUACAGAGAUCUCCCACUGACACUAACAGACUGGUGCCUAAGGACACUGUGCCUGAUCCACUCCUAAGUGGUCAGCGUGGAAUAACUACAGAAACAGAAACAAAACAAGGCCAUGUAAAGAAACUAUCAGUUUAGAAUUAUUACUUUAACUGGAGGAAUUAUUUGUAUGAUAAAGAAUCUUGCAGAUCUGAAUUAGACUCCAAAGGUUAUGACUGUAAGUACAUUGCAAACUGAAAUUCAGAUUUUGGCUUUUUUACUGAAUGUGCCUCACAGAAAGAAAAAAGUGUAUGUAGAAGCAGGAAAUAUAGCAAGUAGUUGCCAGUUAUUAGGCUUACGGACUAUUUCAUCUAAUUCCCAGUUGAUUCUUCUCCUGUUACAUAAUAGACCACGGACUAUUUCAUAGAUUUGCAUGUAUCAAACCAAGGCCAGUAGAGAAGCAAUAUUACUCAUGGAACAUAGACUCAAAAAAUAACGUUUUAUACCCUUGCAUUUUCAUCUUAGUUUAUACUACUAGAUUGUACAUAUCUUCCAUAUAUGUGUUUAAAACAUUUGUUGUGUUAUUACUUAUCUUUAUUUUUUUUUUCCUAAUUCAGGAAAAAAUAUAAAGAAAAUACACAGCUUUAUUACAAGAUUGUUUUCUUUGAGAAUGUGAUAUUCAUAUAAUAAUCUAUUUAAAACAUACAGAAGAGAUAUGAUAUAUUUGAAAUGUAAGAUCUGCAGUGGAUUUUAGCACCCAGAUGUUUAGACAAAAUAAGUCUUUACAACGCAUGACUUUUGUAUGUAUAGAAGAUGUAUUAAAUUAUGUAGUUAUCAUGAAAAUGUGUCACUGUGAUUUCAUUAGCAAAUAUUUUAUUCAAAAACUCUGGAUAUUAAGUUGUUUGUGCCUACAAGCUUCUAUGUUUCCAGUGAUGUUCUAAACAUAAGAAAUAAAGUUUUAAAUGAAAAUAUGGUUUGGGAAAAAGC